rnacentral:rRNA from 1 species
UUGGAGGGCAAGUCUGGUGCCAGCAGCCGCGGUAAUUCCAGCUCCAAUAGCGUAUAUUAAAGUUGUUGCAGUUAAAAAGCUCGUAGUUGAAUUUCGGGAUCAAUAUUUCGGUCAUGCCGUUGGUAUGCACUGUUAUCAUUGAUUUCUCACCUUCUAAAGAACCGUAAUGCCAUUAAUUUGGUGUUACGGGGAAUUAGGACUGUUACCUUGAAAAAAUUAGAGUGUUUAAAGCAGGCUCACGCUUGAAUACAUUAGCAUGGAAUAAUGAAAUAGGACAUCCGAUUCUAUUUUGUUGGUUUCUAGGGUCGAUGUAAUGAUUAAUAGGGAUAGUUGGGGGCAUUAGUAUUCAAUUGUCAGAGGUGAAAUUCUUGGAUUUAUUGAAGACUAACUACUGCGAAAGCAUUUGCCAAGGAUGUUUUCAUUAAUCAAGAACGAAAGUUAGGGGAUCGAAGACGAUCAGAUACCGUCGUAGUCUUAACCAUAAACUAUGCCGACUAGGGAUCGGAUGAUGUUAAUUUUUUAAUGACUCAUUCGGCGCCUUACGGGAAACCAAAGUGUUUGGGUUC